CUUAAUUAAACCCUGCUCAAAAACCCCCAAAUUGACACUCAUUCCGGCGGAGACAGACGGCGGCGUACCUCUGUAAUUCGAUCCAUCAAAGUUGGAGUGGAAAAUAAUGCAAGAGACACUAGCUAGUGAUUCAAGCAGAGGAGUUUCAGCACAGAAAAGGGUCCCGAAAAAGAUGAGGAAGGUUCCCGAAACUUAUUUCCUUCCCCGCAGAUCUCUUUCAUAUAACCUUACGUUUUUUGGAGCGUGUAUCGCUGGUGGGAUUGGCGCUGGCAUGCUUCUGCAAAAGUGGAUAAACAAGAAAGUCGCAGAGGAUGGAGGUGUGAUAUACGAGUUUGACUGAUGAAAAGCUCCAUGGUUUAACCACAGCUUACAACUGAUUUUCGUGUUGUUGAUCGUGUUGGUUUUGAAGAUUUGUCUAAACAGUCAGAUAUUUCGUCCCAGAAUUGAGUGGAGUUCAUCAAUAAUGUGCUGUUUCAGGUCUCUUUUUGUAUGUGCCUUUACUGAAAACACUUUAUAUCUGAUUUAUGUCCAGCAUUAGUCUUGCA